rnacentral:rRNA from 1 species
CCUACGGGAGGCAGCAGUGGGGAAUCUUGCGCAAUGGGCGGAAGCCUGACGCAGCAACGCCGCGUGCGGGAAGAAGGCCUUAGGGUCGUAAACCGCUUUCAGGGGGGACGAAGCUUCCGGGGUUAAUAGCCUACGGGGUGACGGUACUCCCAAAAGAAGGUCCGGCUAACUACGUGCCAGCAGCCGCGGUAAUACGUAGGGACCGAGCGUUGUCCGGAAUCAUUGGGCGUAAAGAGCGUGUAGGCGGCUUGGUAGGUCUCGUGUGAAAUCCCGCGGCUCAACCGCGGAUCCGCACGGGAAACCCCUAAGCUCGAGUCCGGAAGAGGAGAGUGGAAUUCCUGGUGUAGCGGUGAAAUGCGCAGAUAUCAGGAAGAACACCCGUAGCGAAGGCGGCUCUCUGGGACGGUACUGACGCUGAGACGCGAAAGCGUGGGGAGCAAACAGGAUUAGAUACCCUGGUAGUCCACGCCGUAAACGAUGGGCGCUAGGUGUGGGAGGUGUCGACUCCUCCGUCGCGACGCUACGCAUAGCGCCCGCCGUCGGGAGGUACGGCCGCGAGACGAAACGUACGAAGAAGUAGACGGCGUGAGACGUUGCGACGGACGACGACGAGGGAGGAGG